AGGAAGGCGGAACCGCAACCCAGAUGCCUUCCUGGUUUGGAGGCGACCCCGAGGCGGUGACGCUCGGUGCCCGGACUUGUCCAGCUCCCGAAGGAUCGGGGUUGGAGGCCAGCCUGCGCUGCACCCGGAGACCCUGUACCCAAAGAGAAGUCCCCCCCCAGACCCGAACCGCUGCUGCACGCUGCGUGAGGCCUCCACCGCGCGAGGUUUCUCUGCUUAGGAGACACAUUCUCUCUCUCUGACUGGCUUCAGAGACUCGGCAGUCUUCAUCUCCCAGCAUGAGAUUCUAGAUGGCAGCGAUCUUGGGAUGAUGCAGAAGGCACCAUGGUGCUGAGAAGAAGUGACA